GCACAGAGAUUGCUGCCGCCCACGACCUCUCCCUCCCCAAUGCGGCCUGCCCUGACCUGGAACUCCACCCCAGGGCCCCCAAAACUGACAUCCUGCCAGCAGGAGGUGUGGAACUCACCUGCCUGGAGAAGGAAAAACUCCACCCUCAGCUUCAUCCCUCCUGCCCCUGAUCUGGUGGGGGCGUGAAUCCCCGUCCCCAAGCCAAACGUCGCCAAGCCGGGUUCCUCACCCAGAAAACAGGCUGAGCCAGAGGAGUUCAAAGGUCAAGGGUGGGACAGAGCUCAAGGGUAGAGCAGGUGGUCCUGCCCCACCCCCCAGGACAGUCUCAAACUGAGAGGGACAAGGAGCUGGGGACAGGGACACGGCCACCCUACUCCCCUUGAGGGAAAGCACGCAGCAGACACUCCUCGCGGGCGCUGCCAGGCAGCCUGUGCGCCAUGUUAGCUGCUUCUGUGACGCCUGCGUCUUCACCACGAGGAAGCACAGAACUGCUUUGGUAACCAGAGGGAAAGAAUCUACGUCAAAAAAAAAUCCACAUAAAAAAAUGUCUAUAUAUUUCGAAAAUAGAUGACAAAGACCAACUUUUGUUGAAUUCUAAGGAAAAGGGGAUUUCUGAGGACCAGAGUGGCCAUGCAUCGCUUCCCAUAAGAGGUGGCUCGCACCGGGGGGCUGAAGAUUGUGGUGGCAGGAAGGGGACCUCUGUGACUCCUCGGGGAUGGCCCCAUCUCAGGAUGGCCAGGAAGGCGGGCCCCGGCAGCUGCGUUCAGGGCGGAUGGGGCCCCUCAAGGUGAGGUCGAGGAGGCCGCCCUUCCUCCUCUCCAUCUCUGAGGACCGAAAGCAAAUUCAGUGCCAAGUCAGAAUGGGAGAGACGCCACCCAGGAAGCAGCCCGCCCCACGCGGCCAGGAGCGAGACUGGGCACUCCUCCCACCCACAGCCACGACACUUCCUCUGCAGGACCCUUCCCUGUGGGGCCGGGGGCUCUCCAGGCCUGGCUGCCAGCAGGAUGACCCCAGAGGGAUGGCCACAGGUGAACCAUGCUCAGCUUCUGGGUGGACCCCCGCCCUUCCCUCAAACACGUGCACACACCCCCUUUCGGUCCUGUCAACCAGGCGCCUCAGUCUUGCUGACUCAUCCAGUCUUCCUGGGGGGCCAACACCAAGGCAGCAUCCCUUCCCCAGAGGAAAGCAGGGCCUGCCCCAGCUCUGAGGCCACCAGUCCUGGGUGCUCUCCUUCCUAGUGGCACCCGCAGAGUGUGGCCUCUGGAUGGGACAGACCACACCUAAGCUGGCUCUGAGAGCCCAGCAUGGUUCACCCCCAAGGGGCUACUGGGCAGUCCUGGAUCUCACACCUGCACACGAACAAGGCCGUGCGUCCAGGCCUCCGCUGUCUCGUCGAGAGGACCCCGUCCUGCCCGCCUCACAGGGGUGUUGAGUCAGCGCUGGUGGAAACACCACGAAAAGGAGGAAGUGUCCCCAUUCUAAACGGCAGCACUUCUCAGUAAUAAUGAGUCUGGCGCAGGGGCUGGCUGUGUGCGGUGGGCGGGCCUGCCAGGGAGGCUGGUCCUACAAGGCGAAGCGACACUGCGGCACCGGGUUUGUUUCCGCCGUCGGCGAGGAGGUUCCUGUUCUAACCACCUGCCUUUCGGCUCCGUUGUUUGUUCCUGGCUGCCCCCGUUAGGUCAAGAGUCAGGAGGCACGGCCUGUCCUGUGGGAAUCACAAGACGCCCAGCCCGACAUCCCUCUCGAAGAUUCCAGCUCUGGGUCCAGACCCCCCAGUUUUAGGUUCACAGAAAAACUGAGCAAGAAGUACAGAGAAUUCAUCAACAAGCUCCCUCAGGUGACUCUACUGUGGCCCAGGUGGGAACCCCACAUGAGCGCCAGCGCAGCAUCCAGAGGACCAGAGAAUGGUCCCCGGCCCACCCCGCCCAGUGCCUGUAGAGGCGGGAGCUGCCACCAGAGAGCCGGAAGAACCCGGGAAGAACCCGGGACCCCCGGCUAAUUCAUGGAUCAACAAACUCCAGCCCUCAGGCCAAAUCUGGCCCCACCACUUGUUUGGGUACAGCCCACAAGCUAGGAGUGGUUUUACAUUUUUUAAUGGUUGGAAAAAAUAUCAGAAGAUUUCGUGAUGUGAAAACAUUUACUAGGGGGCCCGUUACAGAAAAAGUUUACCGACCCUGCACCAUGAGAUUCCACCACCGGGGAGCCGCCCCUCAGGAAGGAGCCCAGCUCCGAUUCCCCCCAGGCCUUACAGGUCCCCUCCCUGUGCUCAGGGGGCUGCAGGUGCGGCCAGCAGGGGUGAACCUGCUCUUCUGAGAGCCUUCCCUGUCACUCCCCCCAACACUGCCAGCUCCUCCACCGACCUCUAGCUGGGUCUGUUCUGCUUGUUUGUACCGUCUGGCUGUCUAGAGGCCCGAGGAGGAAAACCAAGCCGGCACAGAGCACAGCCGGCUGACCCUGCGCUCUCCGGAGCAGAGCCCAGGCUGUCUGUCCACACAAGGGCUGACUCAGACCCUCCUCUCCGGCCUCAAUGGUUUUCAUUGAUUCCUGUCCUGAAAAUGUCCCCAAGCUUCACCACCUUUCUCUGCUACAGAUCAAAACAUGGUCUGUCUGGGAGCCACAGUGCAGGCUGCUCUGGGUCCCCUGCAUUCCUGGCCCACGGGGCGUCUACUCUGACCUGUAAUAGACGCUGGCAGAGGCCUACCUGGAGUGAUUGAAGAGGCUCUGGAAAGGCUUUCAGAAUAAAAACACCCCCACCCGCCAUGGUCUGAAGGAUUUCCACCCAACAGACAGACUUUCACAAUGCAAACCACUCUAUCUUUCAGUGAAUUAAUUUAAUGAGACUGUCCAGCUCACGGCCACUAGGACAGCCUGGCAUGGAGGGGGCUGGGGGCUGGGCAAGGGGUGGGAUGAGCUCCUGGGUGCUGUGCUCUCAGCACAGUGGCCGCAGGGAAGGGUGCAGAGGACAGAACCACAGCGACAUGCUUUUCGGAAGGGGCACCGAUGACCCGGCCAGCAGGGGACACUGAUGCCAGAGUUGGGGACACCCAGCUCUGAUCCUAAGCCAGAGCCUCCAGGGGCUGUUCUCCCACCCAACCCAGGGAGCAAGCCAGGGCCGGCGGGCAGGGAGGAACCCGGACUAUUCUUUCCAAAGCCUGGGCCUGCCCCAGUCCGGCUGGCGGGGUGGGGACGGGAAGGGGAAGAGCGAGGGCCUGAGCCCAGGGCACGGACGUUAGUUCUGCUCUGCAGGAUCCAGAUUAAACAGCUCCAGGCAGGAAGCCCGCCUUCUCCAAGAUUGGUCAGGAAGUCAUGAUGCAAGUUUGCGCUUUUUUUUUUUAAACACGAAAGAGAAAAAGAGAUUCGUGCCCCCCUCACCAGCACUCCGGCCCUUCCCAUAGGGGCAGACAAUCUCCUCCCUGGCCGGCGACCCUCCUCUCCAGCGCCCCGGGCGAAGGCACCAGCCGCGCUCUCGGGGGCACUCGCCUCCCGCUCCCGUGGGCGCUGGGGUGCCAUCCCUCUGCCACCCGCUGCCGCCCUCCCAGCCCGGCGCUCGGACGGGGACCCCGCCGAGGCCGCCCGCGCCGCCCCGGCCUCCCCGGCGCUCUCAUGCUUCUGGAAUGCGGGCGCCCAGGGCCGCGCGUCCCGGGGAAUCUCUGCGCCCGCCCGCGCACGGCCCUUGCCCGGCCGGGAAGUAGGGAGCGGGGACGCAGCCCCUGUCCCAGCCCAGAGCCCGCCGCGCCCGCCCCACUCACCGGCCAGGAGCGCGAAGGGUAGCAGCAGCCAGUAGAGGAGAGCGCCGAGCACGUGCGGCUCCAUGCCCGGGGGUCCCGGGUCCCGGGGUCGCUGGGCCGCCUCGGCGCUAAGGGGCGGCACCCGGCAACCGGGGCCGACGCGCCAUGGCGCACAGGGCGGGUCGCCGCACGUGCGGAGCGCCGCGGCCAGUACCCCCGGCUGGUCGGCGGGGACCCGAGCGCCUCCGCGCCCUCCUCCUCCUUCUCCUCCUUCCGGUGCCGACGGCCGGGGCCCGCGUCCGCUGCGGCGUCAGCCCUGCCCCGCGGCGGAGCGCAGCGCGCGGCUCUCGGCGGCCGAGCAGGGCCGGUCGGCGGCUUAGCAACUCCCUCCCUCCCUCCGCC
rnacentral:lncRNA from 1 species